rnacentral:rRNA from 1 species
ACGUUAGCGGCGGACGGGUGAGUAACACGUGGGUAACCUACCUAUAAGACUGGGAUAACUUCGGGAAACCGGAGCUAAUACCGGAUAAUAUUUCGAACCGCAUGGUUCGAUAGUGAAAGAUGGUUUUGCUAUCACUUAUAGAUGGACCUGCGCCGUAUUAGCUAGUUGGUAAGGUAACGGCUUACCAAGGCGACGAUACGUAGCCGACCUGAGAGGGUGAUCGGCCACACUGGAACUGANACACGGUCCAGACUCCUACGGGAGGCAGCAGCG